rfam:Chromatiales bacterium (ex Bugula neritina AB1) isolate AB1-2 AB833_contig000150, whole genome shotgun sequence.
AGAACCGUGAGGUUGUGUCUGAAGGAAGCCGCGAGCAAAACUGCGAGCUGAUGACCAAGAACAUCUUAUGAGGCGUAGGCACUGGGAGCCUGUCCGAGAAUGUAUGAUCUACUUCGGACGUGAGAUUUUAGGUCAGAUAUUUUGAUCAUUAGAGGCGAAUAGUUGUUCUUCUUUAACGAAAAUGAUCGGAAUAGCUGGCCAAAAGAUCGCGCC